ACGGCUCCAUUGGCAUGUAUUUUAGUUUUGAUUUUAAGUUAUGUUUGGUAAAUUCGCUAGGAAAAGAGAAUUAUAAUUUUGUUGAAAGUAGUUGUUAAAUCUUAAAGACGAUAAGACACUUGACAGAGAAUUGUUACAGGAUAGCCAAGGAUGAAGGCCCCAGGGAGAAUUGGACAUGUGGAAAAUGAAAGGGGGCAUCCUACAAGAGAAGGUCUGACAUAAGGAUCAUUUACUAAUCUUACCAAAGACAUUGUUUAGAAAUGCAGCAAUAUUGAUACAUGGGCUGAGCCAUGUGUCAAUAGGGGGGAAGAAUGGUAGAGCAGGUGAUAGAACAGGUUAGGAUAAUUACUUAAACCUCCAGACUACACUAGAGACUAUUGAGACUCACCUCUAGACUACAGUAGAGACUAUUGACUAUUUCUUGAAUUGUUUAACACUUUUUUAGUUACUACAUGAUUCCAUAUGUAUUAUUUCAUAGUGUUGAUGUCUUCACUAUUAUUCAACAAUGUAGAAAACGCCCAUGACAUGCUGUUCAGCAUGUACACUGAGCUGCAGACACAGAAGAUCAGAAUCCCUGCUGAGAUGAACACCAACCUCAUGAUCCUCCACUCAUACAUACUGGUUAAGAUCCAUGUGAGGAGAGGGGAGCAUCUAAAAAAAGCUUGCAUGCUCUUCAGAGUUUCCAACAACGUCAGCAAAUUCCUCUCCCUGAAAGCAAAGCAGAGGGCUGAAGACAUUGGAAGCAGGCUGAAAAGACACCUACUGAGACAUAAAAGGACAUGGAUAUGAAGCCUCUGAUGAUUCUCCUCCUGCUAGCAGUUGCAGCAAACUUGCAAGGAAUCCCCACCACCACUCCUGCAGCAGCUGCUACCACCAACACCCCUGCAGCAGCUGUCACCACCACCACUCCUGCAGCAGCUGUCACCACCACCACUCCUGCAGCAGCUGUCACCACCACCACUCCUGCAGCAGCUGCUACCACCACCAC